rnacentral:rRNA from 1 species
GAUGAACGCUGGCGGCGUGCCUAAUACAUGCAAGUCGAGCGAACAGACGAGGAGCUUGCUCCUCUGACGUUAGCGGCGGACGGGUGAGUAACACGUGGAUAACCUACCUAUAAGACUGGGAUAACUUCGGGAAACCGGAGCUAAUACCGGAUAAUAUAUUGAACCGCAUGGUUCAAUAGUGAAAGACGGUUUUGCUGUCACUUAUAGAUGGAUCCGCGCCGCAUUAGCUAGUUGGUAAGGUAACGGCUUACCAAGGCAACGAUGCGUAGCCGACCUGAGGGGGUGAUCGGCCACACUGGAACUGAGCCACGGUCCAGACUCCUACGGGAGGCAGCAGUAGGGAAUCUUCCGCAAUGGGCGAAAGCCUGACGGAGCAACGCCGCGUGAGUGAUGAAGGUCUUCGGAUCGUAAAACUCUGUUAUUAGGGAAGAACAAAUGUGUAAGUAACUAUGCACGUCUUGACGGUACCUAAUCAGAAAGCCCCGGCUAACUACGUG